AACGAACGCUGGUGGCAUGCCUAACACAUGCAAGUCGAACGAAGCCUUCGGGCUUAGUGGCGCACGGGUGCGUAACGCGUGGGGAUCUGCCCUUUGGUUCGGAAUAACAGUUGGAAACGACUGCUAAUACCGGAUGAUGACGAAAGUCCAAAGAUUUAUCGCCAGAGGAUGAGCCCGCGUAGGAUUAGCUAGUUGGUGUGGUAAAGGCGCACCAAGGCGACGAUCCUUAGCUGGUCUGAGAGGAUGAUCAGCCACACUGGGACUGAGACACGGCCCAGACUCCUACGGGAGGCAGCAGUGGGGAAUAUUGGACAAUGGGCGAAAGCCUGAUCCAGCAAUGCCGCGUGAGUGAUGAAGGCCCUAGGGUUGUAAAGCUCUUUUACCCGGGAUGAUAAUGACAGUACCGGGAGAAUAAGCCCCGGCUAACUCCGUGCCAGCCGCCGCCGUAA
rnacentral:rRNA from 1 species